UACGUAGGGGGCAAGCGUUGUCCGGAAUCAUUGGGCGUAAAGCGCGUGUAGGCGGCCCGGUAAGUCCGCUGUGAAAGUCGGGGGCUCAACCCUCGAAUGCCGGUGGAUACUGUCGGGCUAGAGUGCGGAAGAGGCGAGUGGAAUUCCUGGUGUAGCGGUGAAAUGCGCAGAUAUCAGGAGGAACACCAAUUGCGAAGGCAGCUCGCUGGGACGUGACUGACGCUGAGGUGCGAAAGCGUGGGGAGCGAUCCGG
rnacentral:rRNA from 1 species